GAAAAAUUAACAAAGGAGAGAGGGAGGAAGUAGGUUAAACCUUCUUAAGAAUGCAUCGACUCUGCAGGAAAGUGGGAGAGGUAGGAAGUCACAGACAGCCCUGUUCAAUAAUUAAGAGGACUCAGAGGAAUGAAAGUAUAAGAGCUUUGGGUUCAGCCUGCUAAAAGCUUGUAAGCAUUUCCCAGAGCUGUCUCCAUUUUCAAGACUCCCACAGUUUUAAAGGAACAUUUUCUAUACUCCUCCCUCGCCCCCUCCUUUUCUCCUCUCCCCAUCUCCAACUUCUCUGAAUUAGAAGCCCAGGACACUGUGAGACAUGCCAUAAAGUGGCACAUCUUGCCAAUCCUGAUGAAUGAAAGGCUGGAAAUCCAGCUGUGUGUGAGAAAUCCAGUUGCUUUUAACAAAUUUUCCUUCUAUAAUUUAACGUGGGUCUCAGUACUCUUCCAGCGCAUUAAGCCUUGGUCUCUUUCACCACUUUCCAAGGGCUCAGAAGCAGCCAAUGCCUGCAUUUUCAACCUCCCUUAAACAACUUUGGGGAGAAAUCAGAUUAAAGAUGUAAAGAUGUCAUCACUCUCCUUGGAGAUCAUUUCAAACCUGAGGACAUUCCUUUUUAAUUUAUUAAGAUCUCAUUUUUGGUGUUUGACCCAAGAAAUGUUUGCUUAUUUUAAGGUCACAAAGAUUUUCUCCUGUUUUUCUCUUGUUUCACAUAAGAAGACGAUCUCGCUUCCCAGGCAGAGAAAAUAUAAGAACCAUGCUUGGACCACAUUACUAAAAUGGAACCAUAAACCAGAGGGCAAUGCAUUCCUUUUCUCUACCACCAGAUGCACAUAAAAGAACUAUGGCUUACAGGGAGGAUGCUUGUUAUUUUGUGUGGAAUCAUCAAGAAACAGAUGGAGGGUGAUUACAUGGCCUAUGCC
ensembl:lncRNA